CACGUAGGGUGCGAGCGUUGUCCGGAAUUAUUGGGCGUAAAGAGCUCGUAGGCGGUGUGUCGCGUCUGCUGUGAAAAACUCGGGGCUUAACCCCGGGUCUGCAGUGGGUACGGGCAGACUAGAGUGCGGUAGGGGGAGACUGGAAUUCCUGGUGUAGCGGUGGAAUGCGCAGAUAUCAGGAGGAACACCGAUGGCGAAGGCAGGUCUCUGGGCCGCAACUGACGCUGAGGAGCGAAAGCAUGGGGAGCGAACAGG
rnacentral:rRNA from 1 species